rnacentral:lncRNA from 1 species
UUCAAAUGAGAUAACACUUGUUCCUCCUUCGUUUCUUCAAAAUGUGAUGCAUAAACCAAUAUGACCAAUAUUGUCUUCUUUGCCUUCACCACUACAUAUCCUUCACACAAUCAUAAUAAAAAAUUAUCAUAAACAAAUUAGUUACAUGUUGUCAUUCCGUCAAUACACAAUAAUUAUGUUAAAUAAUACAUAUGUUCCAUACUCAUCAACAAAUUAUAAAACUAAAACCUAACACAAUAUAAAAAAUUGAUUGAUUUUCAUUUCUCCAAAUGUCUAUAGUUCUAGUCAAGCUCCCUUUAGAUAGAGAGAAGAAUAAGCUAAUAUUUUAGCAACCACGAGGUGAUGCAAAAUUCAAAGCUCAAGUACUAAAGUUAACCCAUCAACUUAUAACUUACAGCCACAGGGAAUGAAAAUGCAUCCAAAAGUUGAAAACUUCAAUAAACAGACAAUUUCUUUCUGCAAGAGCAUUUCACUAUUCCAGAUUCUCCACCCAGCAAAAUACGAAAACAAACAUUCAUUUAGUAAAACAAUCAAUUGUCUUACUGUCAUCAAAGUAGAACUUGUAAAAUGCAUGAGCACAUUAGAUCACAAAAACUAAAUAUGGAAAACACUUGUGCUACAUGCAUUAUGCAGAGAUCAACCAAAACACAUGUGCUAUAUCCAACAUAACCAAUUGUAUAAUAUAUAUACAUUUUAAGUUUCCCUUUGACGAACAUAUAAUUCAAAAGCAAAAAACAAGUAACAUUUUGCUAUUGAAAAAAUCCAUUUGAUUGGAAUUAUUGAGCUAUUUCAAUUUACACAAAAUAAAAAUAGAUUUUCAUGCAUGAAUUGAUUUCUAGAAUCAAACGUGAGAGCAGAUAAUCAAGAACAUUUACAAAAGCCAUACACAAAAAUCAUACACAGAAGUUCAUACAAGAAUUCGUUUCAUUUAGUGGCUUCGUACUUGGUCCUCUUAUCUCCCAAUACACUCUAUUUCUAUGAACUGGACAUUAUUCAAUAUUGUGUGAAAAAAAUUAGCAGGUUACAAUUAUUGAACGAUAAAUUGUUCUUUAAAAUAAAACAUCAAACAGUUUCUAGACGUAUACCAAUGAUAACACAAGCAGAAAAUUAACCUUAUAAGAACGAAGGGGGAGACAACAGGACACGGUGGCAGCAACAAUGUCAACAACGGAGGCGGAGCACGUUAACGUCGAUGACGGCACGGUGGCAGUGGCACAAAGCUGGGUGAGGGUGAUAGAUAAGAUUGAGAUAGGUGAAUUAAAAUCAAAAUCCCUUACCUCUAUCGCAAUGAUUUCCGAGCAACGGCCUGACGGAGGCGAGCUUCAAUCGCAGCGCCAAGAGAAUGGGGCGGGGGAGUUAAGGCGUCCAAGAGAGCAACUGACUUGACAGAGAAAUAGCCACUAAGGUAGGGGAAAGCGGUUGCGCCGUG